UUUGUCUGGAAGAAGCAUGGAUAUCUGAGGAAGACUGGGCUCCAGGCAUGGGAUACUGCAGCUGGCCAUCUUUGCUGAUCCAUGGGAGACUGCUGUUCUGCACCAGCCCAGAGUCAGCCUCCUGGAGAAGUAGAACUGGAUUCUCUCACUGCAGCACACAGGCAAAGGCUGAUAAACCAAAGGUAAUGAAGAUGUAGCUGCUGCAUAUAUGAAGUUAGGCAGAAAGGAUGGAAGGACCAUAACAAAGCUGAUGAGAGAAUGGAAGAAGGGAAACUGGAGGAGAAGAAGCUAUAAGAUUGGAUUUGCUACCUGACCACAGGCACCAAGAUUUCUCUGGUUAGAAUAUAAUUUCCUGGUUUUCAUCCAAUAAAUGGCACAAGCUGUUUGGUACCAGACUUUUAAAUACAGGCACCAUUUUAUAACAAUCACAUAGUUGUUACCUGUGUUACUUGAACAUAAUGAUGUUGUCUUCUGCCUCAGCUACUGAUUUUCUCACCCUGCUCCUUGGGAGAUUUCUGUCCAUCCUGAAUGCUAAUUCCCAAUACCUUUUAUCUCCUCCUGACCUUUCACCACAGCUUUGGGCUUUGGGGUUGUCUACUUGGCAACUCCCAGGUUUGUUUGUUUUUUUAAUUAAUAUUUCCCAAACUGACUUCUUCAAAUUUCCCAAAGCCUUCCUCUUAUUUCUAUAGACCCUGUCUUAAUUAAUUCCACCAAUUCCCUAAGGUGCUUUUUCCUUUUUUUUCUUUAUCCCACACCUAAUUAAUAACAUCCUGCCAAUUUUUCCCCCUAAAUAUUUUUUGAAUCUAGUUCCUGUUCUCUCUCCCUGCCAAGAUUGUCCUUUCUUGUACCUUGUCAUCUCUUGCUGGUGCCAUCAUAGUAUCCCCCCACCCGGUCCCCUACCUCUGGUCUUACCUUCAUCCUCUCCAUUCUCUUCAGUGUUGCCAGAGGGACCCUAUUUAAAAUGCAGAUCUUGCCAUUGGAAUCCACCGUCUCCAGUCACCUCUGGGUGAUGAUUAGCUCUGUACAUGCACAUGGGAUCUCUCCUGCCUGCUCUCCUCUCCAGCUUCAUUCCCUGGUGCUUCUUGACUAACAUGUAACGCCCCAGAGGCUUUGAAUGAUUUGGCAUUUUUGUUCUGUGCAUGCGUUGCUAUUUCAUGUCUCUUGGCCUGUUCUGAUCCAGGUUGACCCUGUCAGCUGCUUUACUGCCUGAGUAUCUUCUAUUUAUUCUGCAGCUCUCAGCGCUAAUGCCAUCUCCUCUGCGUGGGGCUAAGUGCUCCUCCUCUAUGUUCCCAUAGCACCUUUUGCAUGUCUUGGCAAUUUUUAAAUAAUAUUGUCUCUUUCCUUGUCUGCUUGACUAACCAGGCCAUAAACCAUUUCAGUACAGGGAUCUUUUUUUUUUUUUUUUUUUUUUUUUUUUUUUCAUCUUGCUAUCUCCAAUGCCAGCAUAGUUCCUAAUGCAUAGAAGAUUCUCAGUAAAUAUUUAUUGGGCUGAACACACUUUUGACAGUGCAGUUUUCUGGUCUUUCUUUUCCUUGCCAAUCAUUUCCUUUUCUCUGAUUUACCAGCCUUCAGUGAUGAGAAAUCAGUGCGAGACUGAGAUUUUCUUUUGGAACCUAAAAUUGGUACAUUUGUCAUUGUACACUUAGCCAAAAAAGAAAAAAAAUCAACUUUGAUUUUUUUUUUGGAGGCUACGUUUGAAGUUGAAAGAUUGACGUAUGCAUCAUGAUAUAAAGUAGUAGUCUUUUCAAAUGAUUUUGCUUCAACCUUACCAAUAAAACAAAUGAACUGUGUCCAUGGGAUUUCGACUUGCUGCUUUCUCUUUGACACUAAAGUGA